CAUCUGUCACCCCCUGCACUACAUGGUCAUUAUGAACCCUCACCUCUGUGGACUGCUGGUUCUAGCAUCCUGGACCAUGAGUGCUCUGUAUUCCUUGCUACAAAUCUUAAUGGUAGUACGGCUGUCCUUCUGCACAGCCUUAGAAAUCCCCCACUUUUUCUGUGAACUUAAUCAGGUCAUCCAACUUGCUUGUUCUGAUAGCUUUCUUAAUCACAUGGUGAUAUAUUUUACAGUUGCGCUGCUGGGUGGAGGUCCCCUGACUGGGAUCCUUUACUCUUACUCUAAGAUAAUUUCUUCCAUACAUGCAAUCUCAUCAGCUCAGGGGAAGUACAAGGCAUUUUCCACCUGUGCAUCUCACCUCUCAGUUGUCUCCUUAUUUUAUGGUGCAAUCCUAGGGGUGUACCUUAGUUCUGCUGCCACCCGCAACUCACACUCAAGUGCAACAGCCUCAGUGAUGUACACUGUGGUCACC
rnacentral:lncRNA from 1 species